CCCACCACAGCCCUGCGUCCAGUCGGGGCAGCUCGUACGUCACCCAGUUUGCCAAUGUGCCCGUUUCACCGGGAGGGGGCGCCAGAUGCCCGUUCCUUGGGAAGCCGGGGACGGCGUUGGGGUGCAGGGACUGCUCUUUUGAAGGAGGCCCACCCGGACCGAUGCUGUGGAACUGGGGAGUCCCGCCUCCCAUGGCCCUCGAGAUAAAAUCCAAACUCCUGAACACAGCCUUACAAGGACUUGCAUGGUCUGGCUCACCUCAUCCCAGACACCACCUUCUCAACAGACCUUUCUUAAUUCAGCAAAUAUUGAUCGAGUGCCUAUUGUCCCAGGCCUGAGGACUUAGUGGUCAAGUCUAAAUGCUGCUCCUUUAGAAGACACCUUAUCUGAGUUGGUCAGCAGGAUGGAUGCGGCAACUCCAGGCAUCACAGUCGGACUUCAUCUCAUACUGAGUUUUCCCCUUGUUAUGUGUCUU